rnacentral:rRNA from 1 species
UACCCGUCACGGGACGGAAAGACCCCGUGCACCUUUACUAUAGGUUGCCAUUGGUGAUGGGUUCAGUAUGUGUAGCAUAGGCGGGAGGCGUCGAAGCGGGGGCGCUAGCUCUCGUGGAGCCAACGUUGAAAUACCGCCCUUACUGUGCCUGUUGCCUAACUUCUACUGAGUAGAAGAACAGUGGCUGCUGGGUAGUUUGACUGGGGUGGUCGCCUCCAAAAGAGUAUCGGAGGCUUUCAAAGGUCCGCUCAGUACGCUUGGUAACCGUACGUAGAGCGCAAUAGUAGAAGCGGGCUUGACUGUGAGACUGACUAGUCGAGCAGGGUCGAAAGACGGAUAUAGUGAUCCGGUGGUUCCGCAUGGAAGGGCCAUCGCUCAAAGGAUAAAAGGUACGCCCGGGAUAACAGGCU